rnacentral:lncRNA from 1 species
AAAGUGUUUAUUUUUGUUUUGGAAUAGUUACAUCUGAUCACUCCCAUCAUAUAAAUAGCCAUUAACAUCAUCUUUCUCUUGCUUUUUGUGAUACAUGAUUAUCAUUUACCUGGUGUUUCAUGAAAAUAUUAAUGACGUUUGUUUGGUCCCUCCAGCAAGUGGCACCCCCGAAGACUUUGUGGCGUAGUUGACAAUAUAUGAGAACAAGAACAUGUUUAUCGUUCUGCAGAGAAAAU